GAAUUCUCAGAAAUCUUUGAAAGUGAAGCCGGAGCUGAUAUUUGCACAAGAUUUAGAGAACUAGAAAAACUUCUCAUCCAUGCUUCAAGCAAAGUCUUUUGGGAGUUUGGCCUCCUAAUUGAAGGCAACUCAGAUGGUUUCCCACCACAACAAGAUAGUUCAGUCCCGAAACUUGUAAGAUACGCCAUUAAUUACCUCAAGUACCUAGCCGCUGAAAAUUACAGUGCACCCCUGGCCAAAGUUCUUCGCACAGAACAUAUAUGGAAAGCUGGCAUCUUCUCCAAACCCGAAACCGACGAAAAUUUACUCAACGAUGCCAUUUCCAAUAUCAUGGAAGCACUUAAAAGAAACGUCGAAUCUAAAAGAUCACGUUACAAGGACAAAGUUGUACCCAACGUCUUCGCCAUGAACACAUACUGGUAUAUUUACAUGAGAACAAGAAACACCGAGCUUGGUAAGCUACUUGGAGAGCAAUACAUGAAACAGAACUACAAGGCUGUAGCUGAGGAAUCAGCUUAUAUUUAUCAAAGGCAAGCUUGGGGACGUCUUGUAAGAUUGCUGGAAAUAAAAGAAGAUAUAAAAAGAUCACAGAACAGUAUUAACGAGGCCAUUGUAGCUUCUGCGAGAGGGAAAAUGGAAUCUUUCUUGAAGGGUUUUGAUGAAAUUGUGCAGAGGCAUGGAGGGUCUUAUUACGCCAUUCCUGAUGAUGAUUUGAGAGGGCAGAUUGGAGAAGCGACUGUGAAGCUAUUGGUUCCUGCUUACACCAAGUUCUUGGAAGUUUAUGGACCAGGGUUGGAAUUGGGAGGUGAAUCAUGUGUUAGUCCAGAAUCCAUAAAAGGGGUAUUGGCUCAAAUUUUCAACGGUGGUCAUCGUGUUGAUGAGGGGAAGUUGAAGAGACGUGAUAUUAAAGAUCUGACAAGUGGAACAACAUCGAUGUCAGGUGACGGUGAGAUCAAGGAUUUUCGAAGGUCUCGAUCAAAUAUCGAUAUGUAGAAUUUCUUUCCUUCUUUACUUUUUUUUUCCCUGUUAUGUAUUACUAUAUAAA
rnacentral:misc_RNA from 1 species